rnacentral:rRNA from 1 species
UACGUAGGGUGCAAGCGUUAAUCGGAAUUACUGGGCGUAAAGCGUGCGCAGGCGGUUUUGUAAGUCUGUCGUGAAAGCCCGGGGCUCAACCUGGGAAUUGCGAUGGAGACUGCAAGGCUUGAAUCUGGCAGAGGGGGGUAGAAUUCCACGUGUAGCAGUGAAAUGCGUAGAGAUGUGGAGGAACACCGAUGGCGAAGGCAGCCCCCUGGGUCAAGAUUGACGCUCAUGCACGAAAGCGUGGGGAGCAAACAGG